GAAGUUAUGUUUGUUCCUCGGGCAAAAGACGAUGAAUGCCUGAUUCUGGCUAGUGAUGGUCUAUGGGAUGUCAUGUCAAAUGAAGAGGCGUGCGAUCUAGCUCGGAGACGAAUUCUUGUCUGGCAUAAAAGGAAUGGUGCUGCAGUUCCCUCCUCAAGGGGUGAGGGAAUUGAUCCUGCAGCUCAGGCAGCAGCCGAAUACCUCUCAAACCGUGCUCUUCAAAAAGGAAGCAAAGACAACAUCACGGUCAUUGUGGUGGAUCUGAAAGCUCAAAGGAAGCUCAAGAGCAAAACAUGACAGUUCCUUUAUAUUUCCUUAAAGCAGCUCUUCAAUUUGUUAAAUUUCAUGUGGUACGAUAAAAUUUUCGCCCAUCCGCUUUUCAUAUGGGCGUUAUGACUACCUGGAUGUGCUAUAGAACGCGCGCCAUCGUAUAACUCAUUCAUUGAUUUGAAUGAUUCACGCCAUCCUUAUGUAAAUGUUUUAGCUAUUUGUUUUAGGGAU
rnacentral:misc_RNA from 1 species